rnacentral:rRNA from 1 species
GACGAACGCUGGCGGCGUGCCUAAUACAUGCAAGUUGAGCGCUGAAGGUUGGUACUUGUACCAACUGGAUGAGCAGCGAACGGGUGAGUAACGCGUGGGGAAUCUGCCUUUUAGCGGGGGACAACAUUUGGAAACGAAUGCUAAUACCGCAUAAAAACUUUAAACACAAGUUUUAAGUUUGAAAGAUGCAAUUGCAUCACUCAAAGAUGAUCCCGCGGUGUAUUAGCUAGUUGGUGAGGUAAAGGCUCACCAAGUCGAUGAUACAUAGCCGACCUGAGAGGGUGAUCGGCCACAUUGGGACUGAGACACGCCCCAAACUCCUACGGGAGGCAGCAGUAGGGAAUCUUCGGCAAUGGACGAAAGUCUGACCGAGCAACGCCGCGUGCGUGAAGAAGGUUUUCGGAUCGUAAAACUCUGUUGGUAGAGAAGAACGUUGGUGAGAGUGGAAAGCUCAUCAAGUGACGGUAACUACCCAGAAAGGGACGGCUAACUACGUG